rnacentral:rRNA from 1 species
CCUACGGGGCGCAGCAGUGAGGAAUAUUGGUCAAUGGACGAGAGUCUGAACCAGCCAAGUAGCGUGAAGGAUGACUGCCCUAUGGGUUGUAAACUUCUUUUAUAUGGGAAUAAAAUGUUCCACGUGUGGGAUUUUGUAUGUACCAUAUGAAUAAGGAUCGGCUAACUCCGUGCCAGCAGCCGCGGUAAUACGGAGGAUCCGAGCGUUAUCCGGAUUUAUUGGGUUUAAAGGGAGCGUAGGUGGAUUGUUAAGUCAGUUGUGAAAGUUUGCGGCUCAACCGUAAAAUUGCAGUUGAAACUGGCAGUCUUGAGUACAGUAGAGGUGGGCGGAAUUCGUGGUGUAGCGGUGAAAUGCUUAGAGAUCACGAAGAACUCCGAUUGCAAAGGCAGCUCGCUGGACUGAAACUGACACUGAGGCUCGAAAGUGUGGGUAUCAAACAGGAUUAGAUACCCUUGUAGUC